AUGAAGAUCACACUAGAACAAGGCUUCUCUGAAAUUGAAUUUGAAGCUGAUAUCAUGCAAAACAUCAACCGGAGCUCCAACACCCCCAUCUCCAUGCACCGUGUCAUGUUUGGACCCGAAGGCUGGGCAGACCUACCACAUGGAUUAUUGCACUCCAUCAUUGUCCUGUUGGGUUCAACUCGUAACCUUCUUGCAGUCAUCGCCACCUGCCCUAGCUGGUAUGCCGCAUUCAUGUCAAUCAAAUCUACCUUAGGCGAGCUCUUCCCACCUGUUAUUUUCUGGAACUGUGCCGACCAGACAAGCUCAGCUGGCUCUCACAUUGGAAACACAUGGGAGCUCAUUGAUCCUGUAUAUCCAAGUACCCCGUUGUGUCGCUUGACCCCUCCAAGUAUUUUGGACAAAAUGGCAGUCGUCAAAUGUUCUUAUGGUCAUGUGAUUUUCUGCUACGAUAGAUCCCUUGUCAUUAUGGAUGUGCUCACUGGCACAACGGUUGCAGCUCCACCUUUCCCAUUGAGUCAACUAUGCUACAGAACCUUCAUAUCUCCAGAGGCGUCACCAGAUUCAUAUCUAUUUGUCAGCAGCCCGCACUGCCUGUACGCUUGGCGAGUUGGGAGCCCCUCUUGGUUGCACUGCGAUUUUCUAAAUGCACAUUUGAUCAAGGAGAUGGUGUCCUUCAAAGGCCGGGUCAUUAUGAGGAUGCGUCAAAAACUAUACACCGUGCAUUUGGCACCUCAGUUUCAUGUUGAGGUACUAAGAGUUGAUUGCAGAUAUUAUAUGGACCCAUACGUGCUUUCCGGAAAUUUGGUGGCUUGUGAAGACACACUUCUCCUACUUGGUCGUAACUGGGAAGCCUUCUCCAUUGACUUCUCAACUGAACCUGCAAAGUAUGUGAGCGUGGAAGAGGGAGGCUUGAAGAAGUGGGCGUUCUUCUUUGGCGAGAAACGUACUGGACAGCCACGACUCUUAAUGAACCCAGAGAGAAUGGGUUUAAGGGGUGGCCUUGUCUAUCAGUUGGAUGAAAACGCUCGGGUAUUUUCAUACCCAGUAGAUGGCAACCAAAAUGAGGAGUUGGAGCCAGAACCUUGUUUUGCGACGAUCAAUGCUUAUCUUGCUCGCAAUCCUACAUCCUUCGCAGCUUGGGUAUGA
rnacentral:rRNA from 1 species